UACGGAGGGUGCAAGCGUUAUCCGGAUUCACUGGGUUUAGAGGGAGCGUAGGUGGGUCUGUAAGUCCGUGGUGAAAUCUCACAGCUUAACUGUGAAACUGCCAUUGAUACUGCGGGUCUUGAGUGUUGUUGAAGUAGCUGGAAUAAGUAGUGUAGCGGUGAAAUGCAUAGAUAUUACUUAGAACACCAAUUGCGAAGGCAGGUUACUAAGCAACAACUGACGCUGAUGGACGAAAGCGUGGGGAGCGAACAGG
rnacentral:rRNA from 1 species